rnacentral:rRNA from 1 species
GGCUCAGGAUGAACGCUAGCGACAGGCCUAACACAUGCAAGUCGAGGGGCAGCACAAGGAGCAAUCUGAGGUGGCGACCGGCGCACGGGUGAGUAACACGUAUGCAACCUGCCUGUAAGCGGGGAAUAACCCGUUGAAAGACGGACUAAUACCGCAUAAUACUAAAUUACUGCAUGGUAAUUUAUUUAAACAUUUAUGGCUUACAGAUGGGCAUGCGCAUGAUUAGCUAGUUGGAGAGGUAACGGCUCCCCAAGGCAACGAUCAUUAGGGGUUCUGAGAGGAAGGUCCCCCCACACUGGUACUGAGACACGGACCAGACUCCUACGGGAGGCAGCAGUGAGGAAUAUUGGUCAAUGGACGAGAGUCUGAACCAGCCAAGUCGCGUGCAGGAAGAAUGUCCUAUGGAUUGUAAACUGCUUUUGCAGGGGAAUAAAGUGCAUCACGUGUGAUGUUUUGUAUGUACUCUGCGAAUAAGGAUCGGCUAACUCCGUGCCAGCCGCGGC